rnacentral:rRNA from 1 species
GACGAACGCUGGCGGCGUGCUUAACACAUGCAAGUCGAACGGAAAGGCCCUGCUUUUGUGGGGUGCUCGAGUGGCGAACGGGUGAGUAACACGUGAGUAACCUUCCCUUGACUUUGGGAUAACUUCUGGAAACUGGGGCUAAUACCGGAUAGGUGCUCCUGCUGCAUGGUGGGGGUUUGAAAGUUUAGGCGGUGGGGGAUGGACUCGCGGCUUAUCAGCUUGUUGGUGGGGUAGUGGCUUACCAAGGCUUUGAGGGGUAGCCGGCCUGAGAGGGUGACCGGCCACAUUAGGACUGAGAUACGGCCCAGACCACAACGGGAGGGAGCAGUGGGGAAUAUAGCACAAUGGGAGGAAGCAAGAUCCAGCAACGCCGCGUGCGGGAUGACGGCCUUCGGGUUGUAAACCGAUUUCGCAUGUGACGAAGCGUGAGUGACGGUAAUGGGUAAAGAAGCACCGGCUAACUACGUG